CUAAAUAUUCGUACGAGACCGAUAGCGAACAAAUACCGCGAGGGAAAGUUGAAAAGAACUAAAAAGAGAGAGUUCAACAGGACGUGAAACCGUUGACAGGCAAACGGAUGGAGCUGACGGUGCAAUUUUGACCAAAAUCAGUCGUCGCUGGGUUCGUUGGCGAAUGAAUCUUUUGCAAACUUGUUUGUGUAGAUUAUCUUUCGAUUCGAAUCUACGCACGGUGCACUUUUGGUCGAUCAGCGUCACGAGCAACGUUCGCAAAUGUUUUGCUGCCGACAGUAAUGCUGUUUGUUGUUUUUAAAAGCAACGAACAAUAAACGCGGCUUGUGGAAGAGGUAAUUGUGAUGAAAAGUUUUGCUUUUGUCUCAAUUGCCGUGCCAUUGCCGCAUCUCUCGGAUGAAUGUUGUUGUUGACAAGAUGAAAAGCAUUGUUCUGCGUUCAAUUGUAAUGGGUCUGUUGGUUCCGUUGCGUUCGUGGGUUUCGGCUCACGAUUUGUCUGGUACGUCGGGAAAAAAAAGUUCAUUUUUUAAAUGGAAUUUGAUCCUGACCUAACCCGGGCCGUAAACGGAAUAUCUAAAAGGGGGUGUUUUUGAGUGGAAACUUUAUAUUUUGCAAAUUCGGGCGGCUCCAAUGGGUGGUUUUCUCUUAUAUUUUCGGUGGGGGGUCAAUGUGUUAUAGCCUCCCAUCCGACCGCUGAACACGACAGAGUCAUAGAGCAGCGUGCGUUUCAUGAC
rnacentral:ncRNA from 1 species